rnacentral:rRNA from 1 species
CUACGGGCGGCUGCAGUGGGGAAUAUUGGGCAAUGGGCGCAAGCCUGACCCAGCAACGCCGCGUGAGGGAAGAAGGUUUUCGGAUUGUAAACCUCUGUCCUUGGGGACGAAGAAGUGACGGUACCCAAGGAGGAAGCUCCGGCUAACUACGUGCCAGCAGCCGCGGUAAUACGUAGGGAGCAAGCGUUGUCCGGAAUUACUGGGCGUAAAGGGUGCGUAGGCGGCAUAUUAAGUCAGGUGUGAAAUACUCGGGCUCAACCCGGGGGCUGCGUUUGAAACUGAUAUGCUUGAGUGUGAGAGAGGAAAGUGGAAUUCCUAGUGUAGCGGUGGAAUGCGUAGAUAUUAGGAGGAACACCAGUGGCGAAGGCGACUUUCUGGCUCAUAACUGACGCUGAGGCACGAAAGCGUGGGGAGCAAACAGGAUUAGAUACCCUCGUAGUC